rnacentral:lncRNA from 8 species
CAGUACAGUCAUAACAACCUAUGAUCUAAACAGGAAGCCUGUUGGACCAUAGUGCAGCUGUAAGCAAGCGGGUCGGAUCUGCUAGCUAUCUGCUGGAGAAGCAGCAGCACCGCCUCUGGAUCAAUUGGAUUUGCAGCCUAGGUGUGCCCAGCUGUAGGCAUAGCAGGUUGUAUUUCACGACAAAACGCAAGUGAGGGAAUGUCGCCAACAUAAAAAGGUCAAUGUGUCAACUAAAGGACCUCUACAGGGUUGUUGUCAACAUAGGUCCCUGACGUCUUCAGUCUGCUGCCAGUCUGUUUAGUUAGUUAACCCCAUCUCUUCCUGGAUCAGACAACCAUCACCCUCCUGCAUCACACCCAGGCACCCUCCUCAGACACCUGGCCAAUCGCUGGUUCUGAACAGCGUUACCAUGGACACCGAGUCCACCCACUCUGGCUACUCCAACAGAUCCAACAGACCUAGGGAGCAGAGUCGGCGUGAGCGGCGUAAGCUCAGCAGUAAGGACAGCAGCCGGUCAGAGAGGUCUGUAAUCAUCAACAGCCCCUAUGGGCCCACUCAGGCCUCCCCCAACCACAACAGUGAGCCCCUGCUAGAAGUCCCCACCUCCGUGACUGGAGACGAGGCUCCAAGCCUCCAGGUAAGCUCCAACCCAACAAAUCAAAACUCACACAAACCAUGCCUGAAAGAUUCAAAAAGCCCUACAUAACUAUACUGUACAGUACAGCACUUGCUUACAGGAACCCUGUACAGAAGCCAUCUCCCAACAAAUCUCCUUCUCGCAGAGUCAAGCAGGGAACCAGCUGAGUUGCACACCAUGCUGUUUUAAACUCAAACAGCUGGGCCUAUCAUAAUCACCAUAGUGACAGGGUCAUAAUCACCAUGGUGACUAGGGGCCAAAUAGGUCAGAGGAUUUGCAAAUCUCCCCUUGGCCUGUGCGAACUAUACUUCCCAUUCUUUGUUACUGCGUGUGUGUGUGUGUGUGUGUGUGUGUGUGGGGGGGGGGGGGGUACAAUUUCAAAGAUUUUACUGAGUUACAGUUCAUAUAAAGGAAAUCAGUCAAUUGAAAUAAAUAAAUUAGGCCCUAAUCUAUGGAUUUCACAUGAGUGGGAAUACAGAUAUGCAUCUGUUGGUCACAGAUACCUUUUUUUUUAAAGUAGGGGUGUGGAUCAGUAAUCUAGUCAGUAUCUGGUGACCACCAUUUGCCUAAUUGAAGUGGUCCCAUGUGGCUCAGUUGAUAGAGCAUGGUACUUGCAAUGCCAGGUUUGUUGGUUCGAUUCCCACAGGGGACCAGUACGAAUGAAAAUGUGUCACUCUGGAUAAGAGAGUCUACUAAAUGACUAAAAUGUAUUGCAACAUCUCCUUCGCAUAGAGUUGAUCAAGCUGUUGAUUUUGGCUUGUGGAAUGUUGUCCCACUUCAAUGGCUGUGCGAAGUUUCUGGAUACUAGCGGGAACUGGAACACGCUGUCGUACACAUCAAUCCAGAGCAUCCCAAACAUACUCAAAAGGGUGACAUGUCUGGUAAGUAUGCAGGC